AGAGUUUGAUCCUGGCUCAGAAUCAACGCUGGCGGCGUGCCUAACACAUGCAAGUCGAACGCGAAAGGGGCUUCGGCCCUGAAUAAAGUGGCAGACGGGUGAGUAACGCGUGGGUGACCUACCCUCGAGCGGGGGAUAACGUCCCGAAAGGGACGCUAAUACCGCAUGACAUCCUGCCCUUGGAAGGGCGGUGAUCAAAGCUGGGGAUCGCAAGACCUGGCACUUGAAGAGGGGCCCGCGUCCGAUUAACUAGUUGGUGGGGUAAUGGCUCACCAAGGCGACAAUCGGUAACCGGCCUGAGAGGGCGGACGGCCACGCUGGGACUGAUACACGGCCCAGACUCCUACAGGAGGCAACAAUGGGGAAUUGUUCGCUAUGGGCGCGAGCCUGACGACGCAACGCCGCGUGGAGGAUGAACAUUUUCGGAUCGUAAACUCCUGUCCAAUGGGACGAAUGGCCCGGCCGUGAACAACGGCUGGAAAUGACGGUACCGUGAGACGAAGCCCCGGCUAACUCCGUGCCAGCAGCCGCGGUAAUACGGGGGGGGCAAGCGUUGUUCGGAAUUACUGGGCGUUGUGGGCUCGUAGGUGGCCACCUAAGUCCGACGUGAAAUCCCUCGGCUCAACCACGGAACUGCGUCGGAUACUGGGUGGCUUGAAUCCUGGAGAGUGACGUGGAAUUCCAGGUGUAGCGGUGAAAUGCGUAGAUAUCUGGAGGAACACCCGUGGCGAAGGCUGCGUCCUGUACCGGUAUUGACACUGAGGAGCGAAGCCAGGGGAGCAGACAGUAUUAGAUACACCCGUAGUCCUGUGCCUAAACGAUAAGUGCUUGCUGUGUCGGGUAUCUAUCCCCUCUGUGUCAGAGCUAGCGCGGUACGCACUCAGCCUGGGAGAGUACAGUCACUAGGCUGAUACUCAAAGGAAUUGACGG
rnacentral:rRNA from 1 species